GUAACAAGGUCUCCGUUGGUGAACCAGCGGAGGGAUCAUUACCGAGUUUACAACUCCCAAACCCCUGUGAACAUACCUUAUGUUGCCUCGGCGGAUCAGCCCGCGCCCCGUAAAAAGGGACGGCCCGCCGCAGGAACCCUAAACUCUGUUUUUAGUGGAACUUCUGAGUAUAAAAAACAAAUAAAUCAAAACUUUCAACAACGGAUCUCUUGGUUCUGGCAUCGAUGAAGAACGCAGCAAAAUGCGAUAAGUAAUGUGAAUUGCAGAAUUCAGUGAAUCAUCGAAUCUUUGAACGCACAUUGCGCCCGCCAGUAUUCUGGCGGGCAUGCCUGUUCGAGCGUCAUUUCAACCCUCAAGCCCAGCUUGGUGUUGGGAGCUGCAGUCCUGCUGCACUCCCCAAAUACAUUGGCGGUCACGUCGAGCUUCCAUAGCGUAGUAAUUUACACAUCGUUACUGGUAAUCGUCGCGGCCACGCCGUUAAACCCCAACUUCUGAAUGUUGACCUCGGAUCAGGUAGGAAUACCCGCUGAACUUAAGCAUAUC
rnacentral:misc_RNA from 1 species